rnacentral:tRNA from 1 species
GCCGCCAUGGUGAAAUUGGUAGACACGCUGCUCUUAGGAAGCAGUGCUCGAGCAUCAGCAUCUCGGUUCGAAUCCGAGUGGCGGCA